GUGAGUCAUCGAAUCUUUGAACGCACAUUGCGCCCUGUGGUAUUCCGCAGGGCAUGCCUGUUCGAGCGUCAUUUCAACCCUCAAGCCCAGCUUGGCGUUGGGCCCUGCCCGUGGUGGCUGGCCCUAAAGACAGUGGCGGCGCCGCCUGGCCCUCAGCGUAGUACAGCUCUCGCUCCAGGGUCCGGCGGUGGCCUGCCAGAACCCCCAACUCUGUGGUUGACCUCGGAUCAGGUAGGGAUACCCGCUGAACUUAAGCAUAUCAAUAAGCGGAGGA
rnacentral:misc_RNA from 1 species